AUUACCUAAGGCAGCAGUGGGGAAUAUUGGACAAUGGGCGCAAGCCUGAUCCAGCCAUGCCGCGUGAGUGAUGAAGGCCUUAGGGUUGUAAAGCUCUUUUACCCGGGAAGAUAAUGACGGUACCGGGAGAAUAAGCCCCGGCUAACUUCGUGCCAGCAGCCGCGGUAAU
rnacentral:rRNA from 1 species